GCUAGUAUAGCUCAAUUGGUAGAGCAGCUGAUUUGUAAUCAGCCGGUUGCAGGUUCAAUUCCUGUUGCUAGCUC
rnacentral:tRNA from 1 species